rnacentral:tRNA from 1 species
UCCGGGUAAGCUCAUUUGGUAGAGCGCUCCACUGGAAAUGGAGAGGUCCCGGGUUCAAUACCCGGAGCAGGCG